rnacentral:rRNA from 1 species
CCUACGGGUGGCAGCAGUGAGGAAUAUUGGUCAAUGGGCGGGAGCCUGAACCAGCCAAGUCGCGUGAGGGACGACGGUCCUAUGGAUUGUAAACCUCUUUUGUCGGGGAACAAAGGCGCCCACGGGUGGGCGGAUGAGUGUACCCGAAGAAAAAGCAUCGGCUAACUCCGUGCCAGCAGCCGCGGUAAUACGGAGGAUGCGAGCGUUAUCCGGAUUUAUUGGGUUUAAAGGGUGCGCAGGCGGAAGCGGCAAGUCAGCGGUAAAAUUGCGGGGCUCAACCUCGCCGAGCCGUUGAAACUGCUCUUCUAGAGUGGGCGAGAAGUAUGCGGAAUGCGUGGUGUAGCGGUGAAAUGCAUAGAUAUCACGCAGAACUCCGAUUGCGAAGGCAGCAUACCGGCGCCCAACUGACGCUCAUGCACGAAAGCGUGGGUAUCGAACAGGAUUAGAUACCCGGGUAGUC